UACGGAGGAUCCGAGCGUUAUCCGGAUUUAUUGGGUUUAAAGGGUGCGCAGGCGGGAGAUUAAGUCGGCGGUGAAAUUUUGCAGCUCAACUGUAAAAGUGCCUUCGAAACUGGUUUCCUUGAGUGUGGAUGAAGUAGGCGGAAUUUGUGGUGUAGCGGUGAAAUGCAUAGAUAUCACGAGGAACUCCGAUUGCGCAGGCAGCUUACUAAACCAUAACUGACGCUCAGGCACGAAGGCGUGGGGAUCAAACAGGAUUAGAUACCCCGGUAGUCCCU
rnacentral:rRNA from 1 species